AAUAGAUAGAUUAUAGAUAGAUAUAUCAGGAAAUUUCUCCCGCAAGACAUUUUGGUGAGAAUUUUUCUAGUCCAUUUGAACGUUAUCUCUAUUUCUUUUUGCACGAAUUUUGAACUACCCAGUCAUGCUCGUCAAAGUAGACGAAGUUACGAGAGCUGAUAUGUGAUUUUCUUCCUAAACAUGCUAUAUUGCUUUAUAUCUUUGUCAUUUUUGUCCUCCCAUAAGCUCUAGCUAGUAUCUUCCUCGUCAACUUCGCCCUAA
rnacentral:lncRNA from 1 species